AUAAACAAGCCAGCAGAGGCUGAGAAAGGGAGAUUGAGUAGAGUGAGAAGAGAAGGCAGCUGGGACAGAAGAUGUGCAGAGGUGAAGAUGGAGCAGAAUCUGAGAGAGUGACCAAUCCAUGACCGGUCCAGCUUGAGAGCCAUGUCCUCUGUGCAUAUGGAACAGUUGUGAGAACAAUUCGGGAACAACUGUGGAUAAUGGAAGCAAGCUCAGGAUGUGUGGUUGCCCUGGAUGUGAUGGACCGGCCUAGUUUUACAAGCUGCCUUCACUGGGGACACCAGAUGAGGAGUACACUGACAUAAAGAUCUACAGCCAUGCCAGAAUAAAACAUUAAAAUGAGAAACAUUGACUUUGGAGAUACAAAUGUAAGCAAAAUAAAUCUGAGU